UAACAACCCUGCACGAUCUUCACAUGUACCCCAGAACCUAAAGUAUAUAAAAAAAAUAUUUACAAUUUGCAGUGGAGUAAUAUAUCCAUUGCCUUAUUCACUUUUCACAAAAAAAUCCCACAGGAUAGUAACAACACAUUGAGAAAAUUUAGAAUUAUCAAUUUCCGGUGACUUGUCUAAGGCAACACAGGUUGAAUGAGAAUCCACAUUUCCCAACUGCCAUGCUGUUGGGUUUUUCAUCCUUCCUCACAGUGAGAAGGAUGGAAUCUCACUGUGACAUUGCCAGAAAUACCCUGAGUGUGUGACAAAAUUUAACUGGCACCUCACCCAUAAUUAAUUCUCUAAAGAAGUAAGUUAAGAGUGAUGUGUCCAAACUUGUCUCUUGAAUCAGCUCACUCUCAAGGAACAGACAAUUCAUUGUGAAACUCAUAACUUCACUGACCAUGCCUCAGAAGAAUUAUACCAUCUCCCUCCUAAAGAAACCAAAUGUCCUCCAGAAAAGGAGAUAAAGAAAUCUCUGCUGCAGGAUCUCUGUAAAGCAGCUCCCCUUUUGGGAAACGUAGAAUUUUAUGUUUUUUUAUUUUUUAUUGUAUUUUAUUUUUUCCCUUUUAAACUUUUAUUUUAGCUUAAGGGGUACAGGUGCAGGUUUGUUACAUAGAUAAACUGUGUCAUAACAGUUUGUACACAUUAUUUUGCCACUGAGAUAAUAAUCAUAGUAUAAGACAGGUUGUUUUUAAUCCUCACCCAACUCCUUCCCUACACCUCAAGUAGGUAUUAGUGUCUGUUGUUCCCUGCUUUGUGUCCAUAUGUAUUCAACGUUCAGCUCCCAGUUAUAAGUGAGAACAUGUGGUAUUUGAUUUUCUGUUUAUGUGCUCGUUCACUUAGGAUAAUGAACUCGAGCUUCAUCCACACAUCUGCAAGACACAAUCUCAUUCAUUUUAACACUGUCGAGUAUUCCAUGGUGUACAUGUAGUACAUUUUCAUUAUCCAAUCCACCAUUCAUGGGCAUUUAGGCUGAUUCCAUGUUUUAUAUGUUUUUUAAAUUUUACUUGAGGAUGUCUUGUGAUCAAAUGUGUCCCCAUGUAACAUUUGAAGAAACUGACGUGAAGAGGAGAAGUUCUCUCUCCUGGGAGACACUUUGAUGGCUACCUUUGAUUAUUGAGAAAAUCUCAGCUCAGGAAUCUUUGGGAAGGCAGAGUUGGAGGAAAACUCUCUUUAGGAUUUUCGAAUCCUCAAGGUUGAUUAUCAGUUUUCUCCUGAGAGCCCUGAGGGUAGCUCUCUGGGCCCUCCUGACAGACUCCACUUUCCUCAGGGCUGAAUUAACAAUUCCCAUUCUUUUUUCUUCCUUCCUCUGUCUCUGUUAGAUGUGUUGCUUUUCCCUGCUUUAUUUAAACAGAAGAAUUUUACCUGGGAAGUGCCAUGCCCAUCAAGUCAUAGCUUAGUCCAUGGGCCCCAACAUGAAACCUAAGAAAGGCCUUAUUGUCUUAAAAUAGACAGGAGCCAAAUUCCCCUCUUCCCCAUGAUGUCUGCCACAUGUACAUGUCUCUGCCCAUUGCUGCACUGAGGAAGGGAGAGAUACCACACUUCUGAGCACCUGUCUGAUUUAAUCCUUGCUUCAGCUUAUGGGAAGCAGUUGACCUGUUGUUGGAAGUUGUGGGAAUUCAGUGAGAAAUAUUUUAGCAGAUUUUCAGAAAGGAAUUACAUAUGUGAAUAGGAAUAACAUUUUUCAAGUCACACCAAUCAUUGGCACUUACCCUGUUGGACUAAAGGUGUCUGUGGUGGGGAAUGAGUUUAAGAAAUGAGGGAUUAGCAUUUUCCACUCACGUUGUGUGUUGAUAAGCUCCAUGCCUCACAGUUUAAUUUAACAUGGUUGAUGAUCUAUUUUAUGUCUUUCAGUGAGAAAUCCUAAGAAGAGUUAUUCUUGUUAAUGAGUCAGGAACUGCACACAAAAAUAUUGGUGUGCUUGUUUCAAUUAAAAGUAAUUACUGAUUCAAGAAAGAACUUUUUAUCAUAUAGCGCAAUUUGUACUGUCCCUAUUUCCUCCAGAAUUAUUGUUCUUGAGUGUUGGUACAGUAUUCAAUAUUGGUGGAUAGGUGAUCUGUGAGGGAAGGGCUGGGAUUGUGAGUGGCUUGCUCAGCCUUCACCGGAUUGUUGGUCCUUAAUGACUGACUCUCAGAGCACUGGGGGAACCACUUCUUUGGUAAGGGUCGUUUGACUUUGAGCUCCUCUUGAGCUUAGGAAGAGAAUAAUCCUUUUACACUGGUUAACAUUUAUGGCUUUCACUUUUUUUUUGGCAUCUGUUGAUCCCUUUACAAUCUGGUGAGGUGGGCAUUAUUACUGAUAACCAAAUGAGGAAUAAAAGUAUUUAAGGGUUUCCCAAA